AUUGAACGCUGGCGGCAUGCCUUACACAUACAAGUCGAACGGCAGCACGGGAGCAAUCCUGGUGGCGAGUGGCGAACGGGUGAGUAAAGUAUCGGAACGUGCCCAGUCGUGGGGGAUAACGUAGCGAAAGUUACGCUAAUACCGCAUACGAUCUAUGGAUGAAAGCGGGGGAUCGCAAGACCUCGCGCGAUUGGAGCGGCCGAUAUCAGAUUAGGUAGUUGGUGGGGUAAAGGCUCACCAAGCCGACGAUCUGUAGCUGGUCUGAGAGGACGACAAGCCACACUGGGACUGAGACACGGCCCAGACUCCUACGGGAGGCAGCAGUGGGGAAUUUUGGACAAUGGGCGCAAGCCUGAUCCAGCCAUGCCGCGUGCAGGAUGAAGGCCUUCGGGUUGUAAACUGCUUUUGUACGGAACGAAAAGGUUUGGCUUAAUACGUUGGACUCAUGACGGUACCGUAAGAAUAAGCACCGGCUAACUACGUGCCAGCAGCCGCCGCAG
rnacentral:rRNA from 1 species